UACGGGGGGGGCAAGCGUUGUUCGGAAUUACUGGGCGUAAAGGGCUCGUAGGCGGCCAACUAAGUCAUACGUGAAAUCCCCAGGCUCAACCUGGGAACUGCGUCUGAUACUGGUUGGCUUGAAUCCGGGAGAGGGAUGCAGAAUUCCAGGUGUAGCGGUGAAAUGCGUAGAUAUCUGGAGGAAUACCGGUGGCGAAGGCGGCAUCCUGGACCGGCAUUGACGCUGAGGUGCGAAAGCGUGGGGAGCAAACAGG
rnacentral:rRNA from 1 species